rnacentral:tRNA from 1 species
GCGCCCAUGCUUGCUCACCAGCGAGGCGAAACAGCGCAGGUUUCGCCCGGCACAGCCCUCCGAAGGCAGAGGCCACAGGUUCGAAUCCUGUCGGGUGCGCCA